rnacentral:rRNA from 1 species
AGCGGACGCCAGUUCGCCCUUGGAUCCAGACUUUGAUUAUGGCUCAGGAUGAACGCUAGCUACAGGCCUAACACAUGCAAGUCGAGGGGAAACGGCAGCUUAGCUUGCUAAGCUGGACGUCGACCGGCGCACGGGUGAGUAACGCGUAUCCAACCUGCCCCACGGUGAGGGAUAACCCGCGGAAACGCGGCCUAAUACCUCAUGGUCUCCGAGUUUGCCAUCAACCUUGGAGUAAAGAUUCAUUGCCGUGGGAUGGGGAUGCGUCUGAUUAGCUUGUUGGCGGGGCAACGGCCCACCAAGGCAACGAUCAGUAGGGGUUCUGAGAGGAAAGCCCCCCACAUUGGAACUGAGACACGGUCCAAACUCCUACGGGAGGCAGCAGUGAGGAAUAUUGGUCAAUGGGCGAGAGCCUGAACCAGCCAAGUAGCGUGCAGGAAGACGGCCCUAUGGGUUGUAAACUGCUUUUAUGCGGGGAUAAAGCGGGCGACGUGUCGCCCUUUGCAGGUACCGCAUGAAUAAGGACCGGCUAAUUCCGUGCCAGCAGCCGCGGUAAUACGGAAGGUCCGGGCGUUAUCCGGAUUUAUUGGGUUUAAAGGGAGCGCAGGCUGGGUAUUAAGCGUGUUGUGAAAUGUAGGCGCCCAACGUCUGCACCGCAGCGCGAACUGGUGCCCUUGAGUACGCACGACGUUGGCGGAAUUCGCCGUGUAGCGGUGAAAUGCUUAGAUAUGGCGAAGAACUCCGAUUGCGAAGGCAGCUGACGGGAGCGCUACUGACGCUCAUGCUCGAAAGCGCGGGUAUCGAACAGGAUUAGAUACCCUGGUAGUCCGCGCGGUAAACGAUGGAUGCCCGCUAUUUGCGCAUUAGCGCAAGUGGCCAAGUGAAAACGUUAAGCAUCCCACCUGGGGAGUACGCCGGCAACGGUGCAACUCAAGGGAAUUGACGG